CAGUCGCCACGGGUAUACAGAGGGUGCGAGCGUUAAUCGGAUUUACUGGGCGUAAAGCGUGCGUAGGCGGCUUUUUAAGUCGGAUGUGAAAUCCCUGAGCUUAACUUAGGAAUUGCAUUCGAUACUGGGAAGCUAGAGUAUGGGAGAGGAUGGUAGAAUUCCAGGUGUAGCGGUGAAAUGCGUAGAGAUCUGGAGGAAUACCGAUGGCGAAGGCAGCCAUCUGGCCUAAUACUGACGCUGAGGUACGAAAGCAUGGGGAGCAAACAGGAUUAGAUACCCCCGUAGUCCCUGUCUCUUAUAA
rnacentral:rRNA from 1 species